UACAGAGGCCUCAAGCGUUGUUCGGAUUCAUUGGGCGUAAAGGGUGCGUAGGUGGCGCUGUAAGUCGGGUGUGAAAUUUCGGAGCUUAACUCCGAAACUGCAUUCGAUACUGCGGUGCUUGAGGACUGGAGAGGAGACUGGAAUUCAUGGUGUAGCAGUGAAAUGCGUAGAGAUCAUGAGGAAGACCAGUGGCGAAGGCGGGUCUCUGGACAGUUCCUGACACUGGAGGCACGAAGGCCAGGGGAGCAAACGGG
rnacentral:rRNA from 1 species